rnacentral:rRNA from 1 species
UACGAAGGGGGCUAGCGUUGCUCGGAAUCACUGGGCGUAAAGGGUGCGUAGGCGGGUCUUUAAGUCAGGGGUGAAAUCCUGGAGCUCAACUCCAGAACUGCCUUUGAUACUGAGGAUCUUGAGUUCGGGAGAGGUGAGUGGGACUGCGAGUGUAGAGGUGAAAUUCGUAGAUAUUCGCAAGAACACCAGUGGCGAAGGCGGCUCACUGGCCCGAUACUGACGCUGAGGUGCGAAAGCGUGGGGAGCAAACAGGG